AAACAGGUCACUGUCACCAGUGUGAUCCAGGGCCUGGCCCAGCCCUGGGCCCAGCCUGUCUUGAGUAACCCUGUCAGAGGCCAAGCUCCCUGUUUUGCUUGCGCAAUAGCCACUCCGGGGGCCAGAGGCCUGGCCUCAAGAGAACUUGAUGGGGGAAGCCUUGCGCCCAGAGGCUUUGCCCCUCACUGAGGGCACAAUCAAGCCCUCCAACCAGGCCCCUCCUCUACCAGGAGCCAGGGGAGAAGGAACCAGAGAUUACAUGGUGAGCAAGGAGGACAGCUGAGCUGGCAGGUGGGUGGCCUGGCCAUGCGGAGGGGAAAGCCAGGGAGGGAGGACGGCUGAGGUCUGCGAGAAAAAGGCAGAAGAGCAAAUGCUGCGAAUCUCUGGAAAGCGGUGGGCAGCAAGAAGAAGUGACAGCAAUAACAAAGACUCAGGAGUGGAGGUGAGCCAAGGUUGGUCAAGACACCACGAGAAGCCUACACCAGCUGUGGAAAAGGUUUCUGGGAAAGCGGUCUGGCCCCCGUGUCACGGUUUGCCCAUCUCAAGGGAAGCAAGGGAAUUAACAGACUAGGCCUUGUCUGUUGCUCCUCACCAUGUGGCCCCACUCUCUGUGUGCCCCUGCGUGCACUCCUCAUUGCACUAACGGAGAAAAGCAAGUCAUGUCUACACAUCACCUGCUAUAGAGAAGACAGAAACGUGCCUCCUGGGAUCUCAAGGGAGGUGAAAGAGUUAUGGCUGGUGGUCCCUGAGGAACCACCAUUUCUGAGGAACUACAACAACGUGAGUCACAAUACGUCCCUCUCUGGUGAGGGUCUCGACUGCCAGGAGCAAGCCUCCCCCUGUGGCCCACACCCCAGCUCCAAGGCAGCAAAGUCUGCUCAGGGCUCAGAACCAUUCAGACAACUGAGAAAUCCCACCAUCAAACAAAGGGAUGAAGCAGCAUGGGUGACAGCUGGACGUGUCGGAGCGUUACAUGUGAUGGAGGAUAAAGAUGACAACACAGCUAUUUUGACUGCUCUCUGUCUUUUGUGUCCUGAAAUUUCCAAUUCAUUGUGAUUAAAAUAAUUAAAGUUCUUCC
rnacentral:lncRNA from 1 species